rnacentral:rRNA from 1 species
UACGUAGGGUGCGAGCGUUGUCCGGAAUUAUUGGGCGUAAAGGGCGCGUAGGCGGCUCUGCACGUUCGUUGUGAAAUCGCCCGGCUCAACUGGGCGGGGUCAGCGGAUACGGCAGAGCUUGAGCAAGCUAGGGGGCAAUGGAAUUCCAGGUGUAGCGGUGAAAUGCGUAGAUAUCUGGAGGAACACCGGUGGCGAAGGCGGCAUCCUGGACCGGCAUUGACGCUGAGGAGCGAAAGCCAGGGGAGCAAACGGG